UGGGGAAUAUUGCACAAUGGGCGCAAGCCUGAUGCAGCCAUGCCGCGUGUGUGAAGAAGGCCUUCGGGUUGUAAAGCACUUUCAGCGAGGAGGAAGGCGUUAAGGUUAAUAACCUUAGCGAUUGACGUUACUCGCAGAAGAAGCACCGGCUAACUCCGUGCCAGCAGCCGCGGUAAUACGGAGGGUGCAAGCGUUAAUCGGAAUUACUGGGCGUAAAGCGCACGCAGGCGGUUUGUUAAGUCAGAUGUGAAAUCCCCGAGCUUAACUUGGGAACUGCAUUUGAAACUGGCAAGCUAGAGUCUUGUAGAGGGGGGUAGAAUUCCAGGUGUAGCGGUGAAAUGCGUAGAGAUCUGGAGGAAUACCGGUGGCGAAGGCGGCCCCCUGGACAAAGACUGACGCUCAGGUGCGAAAGCGUGGGGCAGCAAACAGGAUUAGAUACCCUGGUAGUCCAGCGCUGU
rnacentral:rRNA from 1 species